UCCAGACUCCUACGGGAGGCAGCAGUGGGGGAUAUUGCACAAUGGGGGGAACCCUGAUGCAGCGACGCCGCGUGGGUGAAGAAGUAUUUCGGUAUGUAAAGCCCUAUCGGCAGGGAAGAAAUUGGACGGUACCUGACUAAGAAGCCCCGGCUAACUACGUGCCAGCAGCCGCGGUAAUACGUAGGGGGCAAGCGUUAUCCGGAUUUACUGGGUGUAAAGGGAGCGUAGACGGCAUGACAAGUCUGAUGUGAAAACCCGGGGCUCAACCCCGGGACUGCAUUGGAAACUGUCAGGCUAGAGUGUCGGAGAGGCAAGUGGAAUUCCUAGUGUAGCGGUGAAAUGCGUAGAUAUUAGGAGGAACACCAGUGGCGAAGGCGGCUUGCUGGACGAUGACUGACGUUGAGGCUCGAAAGCGUGGGGAGCAAACAGGAUUAGAUACCCCGGUAGAG
rnacentral:rRNA from 1 species